rnacentral:rRNA from 1 species
UACGAAGGGUGCAAGCGUUACUCGGAAUUACUGGGCGUAAAGCGUGCGUAGGUGGUUUGUUAAGUCUGUUGUGAAAGCCCCGGGCUCAACCUGGGAAUGGCAAUGGAUACUGGCAAGCUAGAGUGCGGUAGAGGGUAGUGGAAUUCCCGGUGUAGCGGUGAAAUGCGUAGAGAUCGGGAGGAACACCAGUGGCGAAGGCGGCUACCUGGACCAGCACUGACACUGAGACGCGAAAGCGUGGGGAGCGAACAGG